rnacentral:lncRNA from 1 species
GUAUAUGCGCCCGCUGGCGUUGCCAUCACGGGGCACUCUCAUGGGCGGCUUAAACAGCGGGAAAGGAGGCGGGAAGGCCGAGAACAAGGUGAAAGCCAGGAAGAUGGGUGAAUUGUUGUUUAAAACAUCUCAGAAUAUAUACAUGAGCAGAAUGAGCAGAACAGAAGUUAAAGAUAGAGCUUCUUCCAGCGCAGGUGAGGCCAGUAAUCAAAUCCCACUGGUGUGUAUGUCCGUAAAAGAGAACUUAGUUGAAAUCGACCUGGC